GAUGAAGAACGUAGCGAAAUGCGAUACGUAAUGUGAAUUGCAGAAUUCAGUGAAUCAUCGAGUCUUUGAACGCACAUUGCGCCCCCUGGUAUUCCGGGGGGCAUGCCUGUCCGAGCGUCAUUGCUGCCCUCAAGCACGGCUUGUGUGUUGGGCCUCCGUCCUCCUCCCGGGGGACGGGCCCGAAAGGCAGCGGCGGCACCGCGUCCGGUCCUCGAGCGUAUGGGGCUUCGUCACCCGCUCUUGUAGGCCCGGCCGGCGCUUGCCGACACAUCAAUCUUUUUUCCAGGUUGACCUCAGAUCAGGUAGGGAUACCCGCUGAACUUAAGCAUAUCAAUAAGCGGAGGA
rnacentral:misc_RNA from 1 species